ACUCCUACGGAAGGCAGCAGUGGGGAAUUUUCCGCAAUGGGCGAAAGCCUGACGGAGCGACGCCGCGUGGAGGAUGAAGUAUUUCGGUAUGUAAACUCCUGUCAUCAGGGACGAAAGAAAUGACGGUACCUGAGGAGGAAGCAUCGGCUAACUACGUGCCAGCAGCCGCGGUAAU
rnacentral:rRNA from 1 species